rnacentral:lncRNA from 1 species
UGAAAUGUUAAAUGACCUAAAAAUGAAUGCAUGCAUGAGGGGGGCAAGUUUUGAGGUAUUACAGGGCACUGAACCAACACUUCACACCUCCAACACCUCAGAGAAACAUAAGUUUUCCCCCACUUGUUUCAAUUUUUCUCCUGCUAGCAAGUGAUUAAAAAAAACAAGCACCAGUAGUGGUUCACACACAUGUUGUAUACUAGGGAACAUACAACAUUA